CCUACGAGAGGCAGCAGUGGGAAAUAUUGCGCAAUGGGCGAAAGCCUGACGCAGCGACGCCGCGUGAGGGAUGAAGGUCUUCGGAUCGUAAACCUCUGUCAGCAGGGAAGAACGGUCACUGUGCUAAUCAGCAGUGAAUUGACGGUACCUGCAAAGGAAGCACCGGCUAAAUACGUGCCAGCAGCCGCGGUAAUACGUAGGUGGCAAGCGUUGUCCGGCUUUACUGGGUGUAAAGGUCGUGUAGCCGGGCUGACAAGUCAGAUGAGAAAUCCGGGGGCUCAACCCCCGAACUGCAUUUGAAACUGUUGGUGUUGAGUAUCGGAGAGGCAGGCGGAAUUCCUAGUGUAGCGGUGAACUGCGUAGAUAUUAGGAGGAACACCAGUGGCGAAGGCGGCCUGCUGGACUGCAACUGACGUUGAGGCCCGAAAGCGUGGGGAGCAAACAGGAUUAGAUACCCUGGUAGUC
rnacentral:rRNA from 1 species